rnacentral:tRNA from 1 species
GCGGUGGUAGUUCAGUUGGUAGAACGUCUGCCUUCCAAGCAGAAGGUCGCGGGUUCGAAUCCCGUCCACCGCU